rnacentral:ncRNA from 1 species
UUAAAGUUUUAUCCUGACUUAAAUUCUCAGUUUUAGAUUGAAGCACAUGUAAAUUUUAAUAUGACUAUAAUAAAGUAAGUAGACCUUAAUGGUAAUUACUUUAAUUUUUUUCAAGAGAAUUUUUAUAACAAUUUAAUCCUCAGUGCUUAGUGCUAAUAAAAUAAAUGAAAGUUUGAAUUGGUUAUUCUAAUAAAAUUAUAAUGACCGGUUAAAAUUUGUGCCAGCAGCCGCGGUUAGACUGAAGGUCAAAUUGAGAAAUCAUUGGUUAAAAGUAAUUAAAUGAAUAUAUAGAUAAAUAAAAAAUCUGUGUUAAUAAAAGGUGAAAUUAAAUUUUUAGCUAGCAGAUUGUUUAUAGGACAAAUAAAAGAAAUACUGAAGUUACUAAGAUAAAGACAUAAACUAGGAUUAGAUACCCUAUUAUACCUUAUUUUAAAUAAUAUUACCAGGGUAGUAAACAGCUAUAAUCUUGAAACUCAAAGGAUUUGGCGGUAGCUUAGUCUGCUUAGAGGAACCUGUCCUGUAAACGACAAACCACGAAUUAUCUUACCUUGCUUUGUAAAUACAUCAGUUUGUAUACCGUCAUUAUCAGAUAACUUUACUAAAAUAUCAGUUAUUGAAAUAAGAAAUUCUUAAAAUAUUAGAUCAAGGUGCAGCUAAUAACAAGGUAGAGAUGGGUUACAAUAAAUAAAAUUAUAACGAAUAAGAAGUAUAAAACCUUUUUUAAAGGAGGAUUUAAAUGUAAAAGUAUUUUAAUAAGUUACUUUGACUUUAGCUCUAAGCUAUGUACACAUCGCCCGUCGCUCUCGUUAAUUAAAGCGAGAUAAGUCGUAACAUAGUAGGUGUACUGGAAAGUGUACCUAGUGGGCA